rnacentral:lncRNA from 1 species
CGGGAAUCUACUAUCAAUGAUAAGAAAAGAUCAUGUCCGAAUCUGACAAAAAGAAUACUCAACUAAAUCUGAGACUAAGAUCAAGCCUAUCUGACGGGUGACCUCUAGAUCUGAUCACAAGAAUACUCAACUGAAUCUGAGAGUGAGAUCAAGCCUAUCUGAUGGGUGAUCUCUAGAUCUGAUCACAAGAACACUCAACUGAAUCUGAGAGUGAGAUCAAGCCUAUCUGACAGGUGAUAUCUAGAUCUGAUAAUAAGAAUACUCAACUGAAUCUGAGACUGAGAUCAAUCCUAUCUAACUUGCGAUUUCUAGAUCUGAUAACAAGAAUACUGAAUUGAAUCUGAGACUGAGAUCAAGCCUAUCUGACGGAUGAUCUAUAGAUUUGAUAACAAGAAUACUCAACUAAAUCUAGGAUUGAGAUCAAGCUUAUCUGAUAGGUGAUCUCUAGAUCUGAUAACAAGAAUACUCAACUAAAUCUAAGACUGAGAUCAAACCUAUCUGACGGGUAAUCUCUAGAUCUGAUAAAAAAAAUACUCAACUAAUCGGGGACUGAGAUCAAGCCUAUUUGAUGGGUCAUCUCCUAAUAUAAUAUUGAAUAACUUUAUAUGAGACUAAGCCUAUCUGAUGGGUGGUCCAUGAAUCAAUGGAACUAUCUGAGUUCCUCACUGAG